rnacentral:rRNA from 1 species
UACGGAAGGCAGCAGUGGGGAAUAUUGCACAAUGGGCGAAAGCCUGAUGCAGCUAUGCCGCGUGUAUGAAGAAGGCCUUAGGGUUGUAAAGUACUUUCAUCGGGGAGGAAAAAACAAAACUAAUAAUUUUAUUUCUUGACGUUACCCGAAAAAGAAGCACCGGCUAACUCCGUGCCAGCAGCCGCGGUAAUACGGAGGGUGCUAGCGUUAAUCAGAAUUACUGGGCGUAAAGAGCACGUAGGUGGUUUUUUUAAAGUCAGAUGUGAAAUCCCUGGGCUUUAACCUGGAACUGCAUUUUGAAACUGAAAUACUAGAGUAUCGUAGAGGGAGGUAGAAUUCUAGGUGUAGCGGUGAAAUGCGUAGAUAUCUGGAGGAAUACCUGUGGCGAAAGCGGCCUCCUAAACGAAUACUGACACUGAGGGUGCGAAAGCUGGGGAGCAAACAGGGAUUAGAUACCCGU